UAGAAAUAGAAAGGAAUGAAAACACGGCAGAGAAUCAGACCAUCGGAAGCCAACAAAGGCAGCCAGAACUAUCUUAUUUAUUAUAAAGAUACACCAUGAAGAACAGACCUGACUGUAUACUGAAGCCUGGAAUGGUACAUGCCAAAAUGUACAGUACUUAUACAUAAAAGUGCAUUGUCACAACAGAUUAACAAAACUUUUUUUUUUUUUUUCUCUUCCAGAACUAGAGAAGCAUCCCCCUUUACUUUCACCUCAGAGACGAGGGAAUGUCACGGUAAGAGGCAGUACAGAGUAGAGGCGAACAGGAUGGCCGUCAGCAGCACGUGAGCAGGGGAGGGGAGGGGGGCGAUUUGCGGGGGACCGGAGAGUGACUGUGGGGAACGAAAGGCACAGUCACGGCUAAGAGGAAAACAACACGUCUGAUGACCAUGACCUGACCAUGACCGACAAGGAUGCAAGACAGGACAAUGCUGAGCACCGAGGCAUGAAAAGGUGCGGGGAUGGAGAAGCAGCUGGGAGAGAGGGAAGGAAGUUUCAAAACAGUCAAGUGCACGGAGGAAUUGGGGUGGCACUUGGGGGAGGAGGUGGGCGGGGCAACAGUAAAGAACAAGGCUAAAACUCCUCUAAAAUAGAAAGGCACUUUCACAUGUACAUACUACAGAUGUACAUUGACACGAUCAGGUAACAGUCACAAGCAGGAAGCCACCAAUACUGCAAUUAAUCAAACCGACAGGAAAGGACAAUACUGAUUUAAUUACGUGGGCAGGAGUUACCCUUAAGUCAGUAGGUAAAUAGCAGUCUCUCCUGUCACACAGCCACUUACUAUACUUUAAACAUCUAUAAUAACCAUCACACUACACAUUGAACUCGGAUGAAUGUUCUAAGGGGGGGGCAUUCACAAAUGCACGGUUUAUAUGUUUUCUUUUACUAAACAGUUUCUAAGAUAAGCAUUAUGGAACCCAGAACAAUUAUUUAAGCAUACAAAAUUCCCUAAGUAAUUUUAAGAUACAGGUACCAUUUUGAUUAUACUACGUAGACUUUUUUUUUUUUUUGUAAAGAAAGUAUACUAGGGUGGGUGAGUGAAAGCUCAAUUUCCAGUUUAUUUUUACUGAUUUGAACAAAGCUGUGCCAGUCACCCUGCCCCAUGCCUGACACCCCAGCCCAGCUGGAGGUUGGCUUUUGGUUCAGGGGCCAGUCUCCAGUCGUGAGCUCAUUCAUACAUGGGAAGAGACUUCACUUCUAAGCUGCCCGUGCCUUGGGGCCUAUGUGGCAGGUAACUCAGAGCAAGACUCAGCCCCAAGCGCAUUUCCUGCAUUCAUGGCCCCUCACUACUGUGGUCAGGAAUAAAUGUCAUCCCAAAUCUGAAGUCUUCUAAACCCAAUAGAACCACAGGCUCUUUAACUUUGGAUUUCAGAGGCUGUGAUUACUGAAGUUUCUUCAGUUUAUAGACCCCAGAGGCUAUGCUUCAUUCCCAAAUGCUAAGGAGACCACCAUGUCCCCCCACGUUUUUCUUUUUCUUAAUUAAAUUAUAAACCCAUUUUUGGGAAUGGCAAAAGUACAAAGACAGAAAACUCAUACAAUUUGACCGUUGGUGCUCUAUAUCCAUUGAUCACUGUUCAUGUUCAUUGCUGUAGAUUAAGUGGGACCCUGCUGUACAUUAUUCUAUGGAUAGCUCAAGGGGCACCAAAGUCAGAUUACAUUGUGUGAAAAUGUGAAAAAUUGUUGAACAAUGGCGUUUAUGCCACACUUGAACAUGGAGCUCUACAAAGGGCCAUUCAAUGCAUUGAAAUAAUUUACAGAACACUCAUCAGGAAACAGGUACUAAGAACCGUUCACUCUAUCCUAACGACCCACUCCAAGCAUCCCCACCCAAACAGAAAGGCCAAUUUGGUAAAUCUACUUCAGUGAGUUCUGUGGAUGGGACGUGAACAUUCAGUUAUAUCAGCUGUGAAUACAUAUUCUUGUGUAAGUGGAGUCAGGUAAUCUUUGUAGAACCAUCAUUUACCCAUCAUCAAAAUGACCCACUUCCCAAACUGCACAUGAACCAUUAAGAUCCUUGAAACCGGGGCAUAACAUCUCAGGGACUUAUUUUUUCUUCUCUCCCCAUUCCUUGUGACUUCCCACCUCCCCACUGUGGGCUAUACCUGUGGUGGUAAAGAGGACCACAUAUAGGUGAACCCUCUCAGCUGCUGAAACUUUUAAGGAACUUACUGGGUGUUAUUCUGGAUCCUUUGUGAAGUGGCCACUUUGUCUUAUCCUUGGAAUCUGAAGGCUUUUACUAAACAAAGCAAGGAUUAGUGAGUCCUUACUCACUCUGAGGUCACAUCCUUCCCUGGGAAUUGGAAAAAAAAAAAAAAGCCUCAGGGUGACAACACAGUUAUAGAGAGAAAAGACAGAGACAGGUAAAGAAAGGGAGCGAUGGGAAGGUAUUCGGAAAUGUUUCCUGGAAGAAGGCACAGCCUCUGAGGCUCUGAGGUCUGGAGCAGCAUGUCCUCUGCCAUCCGAGGCAGCAGAGUCCUGAUCUGGAGGGUGGAAAGGCAGUCCUUGUUCCAUCGCAGGUGUCAACAGCAAAGAGAGGAGACACUGGGGAGGAUUGCCAGGGAGAAGUCUGAGGAAAUGAGUUUGCAGGAGUAAGAUCUGAAAAACUAAAGCUUGUAAAACAACCCUUCAAAAAUUAGUAAGUUCAAAACACCUCUGCCCUUUUGAUGCUCUCUGUAAACAUCUUACUCAUCCAUCAAAUAAGGAAGUGGUUUUUUAAGAAUCCUCUUUAAUUUUUAAAAGAUGUAAAGUUUCCUCCCCCAUUACUUCCACCCUUUUCUCUGUUUCUGUUUCCCCAUUAACAACAGAGAAUUAGAGACCACAGUGGAAUCUAGAAAGAACUGGGAAAUUAUCUUAAAAGUUUCAAUUGCCUAGAAAUUUGGAAAGGUUGUUUAAAAGGGUUCGUGCUAUUCAGAGCUCAGUCCUGGCUGGGUUUCCAUGGUGCCCAAAGGUGCUGAAGGACCACUAAAGCUCAAGGGAGAGGGUGGGGGGGUUGCAUAAGAUGCUGAGCUGGACCUCUUUUUCAAAAUGGGCAAGAAGGAUGUUGUAAAAAUUCAGAGGUUUACAAUACCUGGAAAUAUUAUAUUUGAAAUAAUUUUUUUCACUAUUUAAUCCAUUUGUGAAAUCAGGUUGCAGGCAAGCAACCAGCAGUGUGACUUGGAAACGUAACAAUAUCUCAUAAAUGUAGUCUCUCUUUGCAUUAGAAUGAUUAGACUGGCAAACUGAGGUAGAGAUCAAAGUAAUGAUCUUGAUUUUAGUACAGAUCCCCAUUUUUUCCACAUUGAUGCAUUCACCAAUGAGCUGAGAAAUCAAAGUCCAUACUGUAACUCUUAGGUGGGCAUGCAGUUGGCUGCCAGUUUGAAACCAAAGUGGUCCAGAGGGGUUAGUUCUGGCCACCCAUUUUUCUGAAAACAAAAAAAACCCAAAAAACCCCCCCAAACCAAAAAACAAACAAACAAAACCUCUUCCUCAGUAAGUUCAACGACAGAGUAGAUAAAAUGCUCAUAGGUUUACAGAUGGUAUAAGCUGCUGCUGGUAGGACAGUGGUGAUCUGUACCUUAGUAAAAAACAAAUGAAUUCAAAGCAACCUUUUUACGAUAGAGGAGAAACAGAGCAUAAAUAUGGGCUAAAGAAAAAUUGUCUGUGGGUGAGGAUGUCAGAGAAAGAGGGUGUCAGUGGAGUUCAGCUGACUGUGUGAGUGAUGUAGAGACCACACGGAGAAAACAAAAAAAGCCGUGGUUCCAGGGCGCACAACUGGGAGGAAGUCAUCCUGGAACCAUGAGGUCAUCCUCCCACCUGGCUGCUCUGGCUCUUACGCCAGUACCGUAGCUCAAAGAGACAAACGCCGAGGGGAGCUGGGGAUUCAAUGUAGGAUCAUCAGGUCUCUGUAGCACGUUUAAAGGAACCCAGGUCAUCUUGUCAGGGGAAGGGAAGGCCGGCGAACCAAGGACUUGUGCGCUGUCUGCUUUCUCCGUUGCCACAGAGGAAGACACGGGGGCUUAGGGGAGCUAGAAGUUGUUUUCUAGGCAACAACAGACCUCUGAAGGGGUUCAUGGAGUAGUGUAACCAGAAAGUCUUUAAAAUUAGACUGUUCUAGUCUGUAGUGAAUGUAGGGGAUGGACUUGGAAACCCUCCGGGGCCUGAUCAGGCUUGGGGAAAGAGUCACAGCAAUAGCUCUGGAGGACUGUCCUUUCCCAGGUUCAGUUCAAGCAGUAACUGCAGAGGUUCUACCCCCUUCUGCUGAGACUUUCACCUGGACCCAGGGAAACGACUGUUACGAAAGAGGCAAUCAUCCUACUCAUUCAGGCAGUGGGCUGCAGCUCGCACUGGGAAUACCCCACUGUGACAACAGCAAGUCUGUAGCAAGAGCCAGCCCUCUGCCACACUACAUGGAAUAAGAGGUACUCACUGUCAGCUACCAAACAAUGCCAUUGUCACCUUUUAGCCUUACCCCGAGUGCCAGAGACCAACACUGGUUACAUUCCAAGGCUUGGAACUCAGAUCCUCCUGCCUUUGGAUUCAGACGCUUCUGACUCAUCCAGGCUACAUUAAGCCUGAAGCACUGUGCAACGUGCAGGGCAGAGCGGUGUUGCCUUCAUUACAAAUGGUGCAGCAUUGGAUUUUCAAGGCUUCUUCCACUCACCUGGAGCAUUAGCCUGUGGCCCUGCACAGCGGCAACUGAUUUCCGUAUCUGCCUCCCACACUGAAUUAUAAGCACCUUCAUGCAGCGGCUGACUGACCAUUGAUUUAACUCUGUGUCCAUAAUGCCUAGCAUGGGAGCUGCCAUACAAAUAAUAACAUUUCAUGGCAGAUAAAUUGGAAAAUUCCAAAAUUCCGAUAACAAUCGCCCAUAAUAUAAUGUAACAUCCAGAGACAACUACUGUUUGAAUUCUAGAAAAUAGCCUUCUA